UAAAACCAACUCUCUGCCGGCUCGACAUGUCCACAUGCAGCAGGAGUCCACGAUGUAGCUUAUAGGAGACGGUGCAGAGGGGCCAGAGAUGCUGGAUGUCCUCCUGGAGCUUCCAGUCACUUCAGCUACAAAACGCAGUAUUUUCGAGGCGGUCUGCAGCGAGGUCUUCAAUCAAUCACCUGCUUGGCGUCCCGCUCCACAUUCACACCUUAGCUGCCCGGCACAACUGCAGCCCACUGUUGGCCACUGGGAGGCUCACCCAGGCAGAAUGAUGAAUCUGUGACCACAACAAAGCACCACAUUUGGCUUCGAUUGCUAUACCGAGCGCUGGCCGGCCGCACUUGACUGUUUUUUUUUUUUUUCUUUUUUGCACAAUUUGUUCACUAAGCCCAGUACAA